rnacentral:misc_RNA from 1 species
AGAGUUAAAUAGUACGUGAAAUUGUUGAAAGGGAAACGAUUGAAGCCAGUCGUACCGACGGGAAAUCAACUUCUCGAGUGCUUGUCGUGGGUGACGUGGAGCUUCACGGCCUUCGUUGCUUGCGUUAUGGUGCUUUUGGGGUGUACUUUUCCGUAUGGUAGGUCAAUAUCGAUUUUGAACGUCAUAAAAUGAUCGGAGGAAUGUAGCUUCGAUCUCGUAUUGAAGUGUUAUAUAGCCUUUGGUAGAUGUGACGGUUGGGAUCGAGGAUUGCAACGAAUACCCCUUUGGGCUAUCCGUCUGACCUCUGGAAGUCAACCGGGUGUUGAAAGCGUGCUUAUGACAUUCGAGUUGGCGGUCAAAAGGUUAGAACGCGAUUACAUUCGUUAAGGAUGUUGGCGUAAUGGCUUUAAACGA